rnacentral:rRNA from 1 species
GGUGGCAUAAUCAUUAGUUUUUUAAUUGAAGGCUUGUAUGAAGGGUUGGACAAAGAAUAAUCUGUUUCUAUUUUUGUUUUUGAAUUUGACUUUUAAGUUAAAAGGCUUAAUUGAAUUUAAGGGACGAUAAGACCCUAUAAAUCUUUAUAUUUUUAGUUAAUUAAUAAUGUAAUUUUAACAGUAAAAUAAAUAUAUUGUGUUGGGGUGAUGAGAAUAUAAAUUAACUGUUCUAAAUUGAAAACAAAUUUAUUUGAUAAUAAUAGAUCCUUAAUAGAGAUUAAAAGUUUAAGUUACUUUAGGGAUAACAGCGUUAUUUUUUUUGAGAGUUCAUAUCGAAAAAAAAGUUUGCGACCUCGAUGUUGAAUUAAAAGUU